GUUAGCUUAGUGUAGGGUAUGCACGUCGGACUUUCAAGCCAAAAGCGCUAGUUAUUAGUGGCUAACU
rnacentral:tRNA from 1 species